rnacentral:rRNA from 1 species
GAUGAACGCUAGCGGCAGGCCUAACACAUGCAAGUCGAGGGGCAGCACAGAAACAGCAAUGUUUUGGUGGCGACCGGCGGACGGGUGCGUAACGCGUAUGCAACCUACCUUUAACAGGGGGAUAACGGAGAGAAAUUUCCACUAAUACCCCAUAACAUCGAUCAAGGCAUCUUGAUUGGUUGAAAACUCCGGUGGUUAAAGAUGGGCAUGCGUUGGAUUAGGUAGUUGGUGAGGUAAUGGCUCACCAAGCCUACGAUACAUAGGGGGACUGAGAGGUUAGCCCCCCACACAGGUACUGAGACAAGGACCAGACUCCUACGGGAGGCAGCAGUGAGGAAUAUUGGUCAAUGGGGGCAACCCUGAACCAGCCAUGCCGCGUGCAGGAAGACGGCUCUAUGAGUUGUAAACUGCUUUUAAACAGGGAUAAAGCACAGUAUGUAUACUGUGCUGAAGGUACUGUAAGAAUAAGGAUCGGCUAACUCCGUACCAGCCGCCGCCGUAA